UACGUAGGCAGCGAGCGUUGUUCGGAAUUACUGGGCGUAAAGAGUGUGUAGGCGGUGCUCUAAGUUCGGUGUGAAAUCUCCCGGCUCAACUGGGAGGGUGCGCCGAAUACUGAAUGACUAGAGUGCGGGAGAGGAGAGUGGAAUUCCUGGUGUAGCGGUGAAAUGCGUAGAUAUCAGGAGGAACGCCGGUGGUGUAGACGGCUCUCUGGACCGUAACUGACGCUGAGGCACGAAAGCGUGGGUAGCAAACAGG
rnacentral:rRNA from 1 species